UAGUUUAUUUAUUCUGAAAAUAAAAUAAAUAUUUUAAAGAGUAAGGUCAGAUUUUUUUCCCAUUUAAUCCGAAUUCUGAAAGAAAUAAUUCCAUAAAAUAUUUUUCAAAAUAAAAAGAACCAGGAAUCCAACCCGUUCGUUGGUAGCAUCUGGGCCGUACUUCUAAAAAAAAUACUAACGAAAUCUUAAGAGUCCAUUAUAUGAGGUAAUCGUAUUGUUGAAAUAUUGUCUAGCUUUUUUCGAUCACGAAGUAUAUGAAUUACUAAUUUGGUUUUACUAAUACUUGCAUCAAGUUUGAUAUAUAGGCUUUUUUUUAUUUUUUAUUGAAAAUUUCAAGAAAAAAUUGAGACAAAUUCCCUGCCGUAUCAUCAAUAAGCCAUGUGACUAAGAAAUAAUAAAUAUUUUUUAUAUUUAUUAUUUUUUUUACCUCUUCCGCAUCGCGAGGGUAUUUUGCUUGUACUUUUAUAGGGGACGAGGACAGGGAGCAGGAGUAGUAGUAGGAUGCUCGCAGAACUACCCAGUUUUUCACGGGUCUGGUUCCAGGUGCUUUAUCUUUUCAUCGAAAAGCAUCAGAGAAGCGCUUGGCCCUCGCGUCCAGCCGCAAUAUGGGAUUCGGGGCCCGUCGGAGAUCUGGGCCGCCCGGGUCGAUGAAGAUAGAAGACCGCUUAGAUUCGAGGUGGCCCCGGGAACCAAGAUUCCUGCCCGGAAGGCGUUCGAUGAAAUCUCUCACCCAGAGGCGGCGCCUGCUGCUGAUCGCCUCCGUCUCCUCCGUGUGACUGCAUUGACGGGGAUCUUUGCUCCGCUAAUGAUUCCACGCCAUGUCUAGGAUGGAAGUAUAGUUAGUCACUGUGUUUCUGGAGCUGCUAUUCCUGUGAUAAAAGAGGCAACGAUUUCUACUUUUAUACAUGAUUUGGAAACUCACCCAACGGUUUACAUUAGUGUACUUGGGGGAGAAGCUGCAUGAUGAGUACUUAACUGAGUCUAUCCACCAUAGUCUAUUGGAGCAAGUGCUUGGGGACAGGUAAGCUCCCAAUCUAAGCCAACUAGAUUUUGUAUAUCACAAAGAAAUGGAAAUGAUAUGGUUGCUUGGUAGGUUUUGAACAGAAUUGGUUUUGGAAUGGCAUAGUUUUGUUAAAACCAACAUGCAAUCUUAAGGACAAGGACACGUCUUGCAUCAAAUUUGAGCUGUCUGUCAGUACCUUCUGUAAUUGGCCUGUUGUAGGGCUUUUAUUCUUUGGGCCACUGGUCAAGCUGGAGCACUGUUUUUGUGUCUAAUGACCAAUUGGUACAAAUAUCCUGAUAACACCCUCUUUAGGUGAGCAUUAAUAAAGAAAUUAAAGCAACAUUGCCAGCUGGUGCUGUUGGUAAAUUAACUGGUGGGUUUGAGUUCCACCCUCACCUGAUUUUCAGCUGGGCUUCCUCCCAUCCUAGUUCUCAAAAAAAUAAAAAGCAAUUAAAGAAAAAAAAAUCACAUGUGAUUCUGUUAAAAAUGUUGGUGCAAUACAUGGAUGAUGGAGAAAUGUUUUUGCUAGGUAAUGUCAUUCCUUCAUUUUUUUGGUAAUAAAUCUGUGAAAUUUUUUAUACUCAUAGAACUACUACCAUAUCCGAAUGUUCCCAGUGAACUAGCUAAUGAUGCUUCGCAUUUGAUCCCUUAAGCUAAUUGAUCUAAAUUAUCAUACUAGUUCUCGUGAAUGUCAUUUAUUUGAUUUAUCAAGGUACAUUACAUGACAGUGUAGCCUCUUUCUAACAAAGUAAUGGCACCUUCCAUAUACUAUGUUAGCAUCUUUCAGUUGGAUACGGGGGCAAAUUUCUUUUGGGAUGUUAGAACUUUCUCUUUUAACAAUGAUCGUAGAAUAAGAUGUUUAUGAGAAGAAAACCUUUAAUAAGAUGUAGUUUUAAGGAGCAGUCCAUAAAAUUUGAAAAUCCAGACUCAAUGCAUUGCCAUGUUUGAUCGCUAGAUUUCCAUACUCUCAUAGCAUCAAUCAGAGUGUGCCCAAAAGCUGAAUUGUGAAUUCUUUGACCAACUUGUUCGCUAGGCCCAGAAGAGCACAUCCGUAUGCAUAAAAGAUCCUACGAGAAAAAUUUGAUCAUAGUCUGAGCACAUUGUAUUGAGUUGGUGCAGCACAUAAAAGAAGCUUCAGUGAUUUUGCAGCCAAGCUAACUCAAAGAAUAUGAAAAGUUUGCCAAUAAGAGCCUAGGGUAGAACCCCUGUGACAAUAUCAUCUACAUCUGUGAUAUUUUGACGUUUUCGCUGGCAUGGAAGAAAUAGUUUCUGUGUUUCCAAGCAAAACGCUGAAGCUCCACACCACAAAUUCAUGGCAUUUUCUAGGUCUCUACAGCACUACACCAUGAAAUUGAAGCAGAGAGCAACAACAUAAUUGGCAUGCUUGACACUGGACUUUGGCCAGAACAUGAGAGCUUUUGAGGUGAUGCUCACAGUGCACCACCAGAGUACGUGUCCUAUUAUAUAUGCAGGCAAUGCGCAAAACAAGUUUUCUGCUGGCAAAUCAAGGUAAUGUUUUCAAUUUGUCAGAUGAUCCCAUUUGAUGAUUUGCCUCUUGGGCUUCACUCUUUUAUAUAUACAUAGUUUUCUCUUCUUUCUUUUCCUUCUUUGGUCUAUCGGAGAGGUACUGCGAACCAGGCUCCGUGGAUAGUGAUCUGGUAAAGGGUAGGAUGUUUUUAUGGGAAGCAAUUCAUGCAGAUAAUGGACCUGUCGUUGAUGCAUCUCAGGGGACUGAUAUAUAUCAAGCAAUUACCAUCCUGAAGUAUAAACUACACAAGCAAUUAACAUCUUUUAUAUAUUGGCAAAUGAAAGCAGAUUUUCGAUUACCAUACUCAAGAGCAUUGGCAAAUGAAAGCAGAGUCAAAACCGGACAAGUAAUCAACAUCUUCCUCUUCUAUUAUAUGUAACCAUUCUCUCCUCUGACAUUUUGCUCUCGUUACUUCAUUAUUUGUUUUCUUUGAACAAGCCCAUGGCUCUAAUUAACUUCUGUGAUGUCAAUUUGUAAUGUUUGUGUAUGAUCAUGCUGAUUUUGCCCAACAAUUGCACCAUUCCAAAGUUCCUAGUCAAGUGCAAUUCACAGAGGUCACCAUAUCCUAUUGAGACUAGCUAUUAUGGAAGGCAUUUGCAUGGCUUUGCUUGAUGCUUCAAGUACCAACUCUUCAGAAGUUAUUUA